UGUGUACAGAUCCAGAAACUUCAGCGUCUGAAUCAAGCACCAUGUUUGCCAGCAUUGCAACCCGUCUCAUGGCCGCCUUGGCGCUGAUCGCAACAAUCGCUGCUGCGGAGCCUGAUAAUUCCAACCACGCGGAUUUUAUUGACUGGUUUGAUUAAAUUCAGAUGAAUGGGGAAGCCAGAGAAGUCUUCAGUGAAGCUGACCAACUCUGUCCAUUAUGAUUAACUAAAAUAAAGAAUGAAAGCAUGCAAA